GUGAAUAUACGACUCGAAAGGCCCCCCGGUUUUCUUCGCUUCUUUCUUCUCGUGUCCCAAUAAAACCCACGCUAUGAGGACACUAUACAACAACUGCCACCACUCUCUCUCCGCGAACAAAUCCCCAUCUGCUGUUUUCCCUAACAAUUAACAAUGCUUGAGGGAUCUUCUCCGUUGUAGAAGAUAAUACUAAUGCAGUCAAUAUCUUGUUGUUUAUUUCCUAUGGGGCUUUACUUGAGUCUUAAUGAUAUAUAAAGGAAGGAUGAGGAAAAACCGAAGCACUGGACAUGUCCAGAUUACUGGUUUCACAGGUUUCUGUACACAUUGUCAUCUACAUUUCUUUAAAUCAAAUGCCAAGCCAUGGAUUAUUCUCUUUACUUAGCAAACAAGCAGUUCUCUAUCCACCCUCCAGAGCAAGAUUGAUGAAGUUAGGCCUAGCCUCAUUACUAAAUAUGCUGGUUGGCGUCAUUGUAUGUAAUAUAUGUAUCUAUGAUUGUUGUGGAUUCAAGCAGAUGUUGCAAAAAAGGAUAUAUUUCAUUGGCAAGUGCUGGAAUUAUUAGCUGUAUAACAUGUAAACCAAAUAAUGAGUUAAUGACUGUUGU